rnacentral:rRNA from 1 species
AGUGAACGCUGGCGGUAGGCCUAACACAUGCAAGUCGAACGGCAGCACAGUAAGAGCUUGCUCUUACGGGUGGCGAGUGGCGGACGGGUGAGGAAUACAUCGGAAUCUACUUUUUCGUGGGGGAUAACGUAGGGAAACUUACGCUAAUACCGCAUACGACCUACGGGUGAAAGCAGGGGAUCUUCGGACCUUGCGCGAUUGAAUGAGCCGAUGUCGGAUUAGCUAGUUGGCGGGGUAAAGGCCCACCAAGGCGACGAUCCGUAGCUGGUCUGAGAGGAUGCUCCGCCACACUGGAACUGAGACACGGUCCAGACUCCUACGGGAGGCAGCAGUGGGGAAUAUUGGACAAUGGGCGCAAGCCUGAUCCAGCCAUACCGCGUGGGUGAAGAAGGCCUUCGGGUUGUAAAGCCCUUUUGUUGGGAAAGAAAAGCAGCAGGUUAAUACCCCGCUGUUCUGACGGUACCCAAAGAAUAAGCACCGGCUAACUUCGUG